rnacentral:rRNA from 1 species
UACGUAGGGGCUAGCGUUGUCCGGAAUCAUUGGGCGUAAAGCGCGCGUAGGCGGCCCGGUAAGUCCGCUGUGAAAGUCAAAGGCUCAACCUUUGAAUGUCAGCGGAUACUGCCGGGCUAGAGUCCGGAAGAGGCGAGUGGAAUUCCUGGUGUAGCGGUGAAAUGCGCAGAUAUCAGGAGGAACACCGGUGGCGAAGGCGGGUCUCUGGGCCGAUACUGACGCUGGAGGAGCGAAGCGUGGGAGCGAACGG